GAUGAACGCUGGCGGCGUGCCUAAUACAUGCAAGUCGAGCGAACGGACGAGAAGCUUGCUUUUCUGAUGUUAGCGGCGGACGGGUGAGUAACACGUGGAUAACAUACCUAUAAGACUGGGAUAACUUCGGGAAACCGGAGCUAAUACCGGAUAAUAUUUUGAACCGCAUGGUUCAAAAGUGAAAGACGGUCUUGCUGUCACUUAUAGAUGGAUCCGUGCUGCAUUAGCUAGUUGGUAAGGUAACGGCUUACCAAGGCAACGAUGCAUAGCCGACCUGAGAGGGUGAUCAGCCACACUGGAACUGAGACACGGUCCAGACUCCUACGGGAGGCAGCAGUGGGGAAUCUUCCGCAAUGGGCGAAAGCCUGACGGAGCAACGCCGCGUGAGUGAAGAAGGUCUUCGGAUCGUAAAACUCUUUUAUUAGGGAAGAACAUAUGUGUAAGUAACUGUGCACAUCUUGACGGUACCUAAUCAGAAAGCCACGGCUAACUACGUG
rnacentral:rRNA from 1 species